rnacentral:rRNA from 1 species
GCAAGAUACCACGGGCGCACGGCGGAUGCCUUGGCACAGGGAGCCGAUGAAGGACGCGGCAAGCUGCGAUAAUCCCCGGCGAGGAGCACACAUCCUUCGACCCGGGGGUCUCCGAAUGGGCGAACCCAUCCACAGCAGUGUGGAUAUCCCCACCCCGAACACAUAGGGGUGGGGAGGACAACCCGGGGAACUGAAACAUCUAAGUACCCGGAGGAGAGGAAAUCAAUCUCGAGACUCCCCGAGUAGCGGCGAGCGAAAGGGGACCGAUGGCCAAACCGUCGAGCGGGCAUACCCGGCAGGGGUUCCGCCGACGGGGUUGCAGGGCCGCGCAUCCGGGGGCUGCCGCCCCCGGGCGCAGGUCCGGCUGGGGAGCGGAACGGCAUGGGAGGGCCGGCCGCAGCGGGUGACAGCCCCGUACGCGAACCCAGACCGGACGGCGCGACGCGGUCCCUGAGUAGGGCCGGGCACGUGAAACCCGGUCCGAACCUGGGUGGACCACCAUCCAAGCCUGAGUACUACCCUGUGACCGAUAGCGCACCAGUACCGUGAGGGAAAGGUGAAAAGCACCCCGGGAGGGGAGUGAAACAGUACCUGAAACCGUGCGCCCACGAGCAGUCGGAGCACCCUUGUGGUGUGACGGCGUGCCUUUUGUAGAAUGAGCCAGCGAGUCGCUGGCGCGGGGCGAGGUUAACCGAAAGGGAGCCGGAGCGAAAGCGAGCCUUAACAGGGCGACUUGAGUCCCGCGCCGCGGACGCGAAGCCGGGUGAGCUAUCCGUGGGCAGGCUGAAGCGGGGGUAAGACCCCGUGGAGGGCCGAACGCACGUCGGUUGAAAACGGCGGCGAUGACCUGCGGAUAGGGGUGAAAGGCCAAUCAAACCCGGAGAUAUCUCGUUCUCCCCGAAAUAGCUUUAGGGCUAGCGUCGCGCGUUCACCGCCGGAGGUAGAGCACCGGAUGGACGAGGGGGCUUCGCCGCCUACCGAAUCCAACCGAACUCCGAAUGCCGGCGGCCCAGAGCGCGGCAGUCAGAGCAUGUGGGCUAAGCUGUGUGCUCGAGAGGGAAACAGCCCGGACCGCCCGCUAAGGUCCCCAAGUUCCAGCCGAGUGGCAAAGGAUGUGCGUCCGCCCAGACAACCAGGAUGUUGGCUUAGAAGCAGCCAUCCAUUCAAAGAGUGCGUAACAGCUCACUGGUCGAGUGGACAUGCGCCGACAAUACACGGGGCUAAGCUGGACACCGAAGCGGCGGGAUUUUGAUUUUCAGAAUCGGUAGGGGAGCUUCCCAUGGGCGGUGAAGCCGCCGGGCGACCGGCGGUGGAGCGCAUGGGAGUGAGAAUGCUGGCAUGAGUAGCGAGAGACGAGAGAGUAACUCGUCCGCCGUGAACCCGAGGUUUCCUGGGCAAGGCUAAUCCUCCCAGGGUCAGUCGGGGGCUAAGGCGAGGCCGGAAGGCGUAGCCGACGCGCAGCAGGCAGACAUUCCUGCACCGCGCACGCGGCGCUACGACCGACGGGGCGACGGAUGGGGGUGGCUCGGCGGGGUUCUGGACGUCCCCGUGAUGGAGCGCGGCCCGCGGACCAGGGAAAUCCGGUCCGCACGAGGGCGAGGCUCCGGACGAAGCGAUCAAGCGAAGCGAGUGAGCCCGAGGUCCCUAGAAAAACCCCUAGGCAGGCGCGUGCGCGCCCGUACCGCAAACCGACACAGGUGGGUGGGUAGAACAUACCGAGGCGAUCGGGUCAACCAUGGUCAAGGAACUCGGCACAAUGGCCCCGUAACUUCGGGAGAAGGGGUGCCCGCGCGUACGUGAACGGACUUGCUCCGGGAGCGGAGGCGGGCCGCAGUGGAGAGGCCCAAGCGACUGUUUACCAAAAACACAGGACUCUGCAGAAGCCGCAAGGCGACGUAUAGGGUCUGACGCCUGCCCGGUGCCGGAAGGUCACGCGGAGGAGUUAGCCGCAAGGCGAAGCCCCGAAGCCAAGCCCCGGUAAACGGCGGCCGUAACUAUAACGGUCCUAAGGUAGCGAAAUUCCUUGUCGGGUAAGUUCCGACCUGCACGAAAGG